UACGUAGGUGGCAAGCGUUGUCCGGAUUUAUUGGGUUUAAAGGGUGCGUAGGCGGUCCUAUAAGUCAGUUGUGAAAUACGGCAGCUUAACUGUCGAGGUGCAAUUGAUACUGCAGGACUUGAGUACAGACGAGGUAGGCGGAAUUGACGGUGUAGCGGUGAAAUGCGUAGAUAUCUGGAGGAACACCGGUGGCGAAGGCGGCAUCCUGGACCGAUACUGACGCUGAGGAGCGAAAGCCAGGGGAGCAAACGGG
rnacentral:rRNA from 1 species